rnacentral:misc_RNA from 1 species
GAUGAAGAACGUAGUGAAAUGCGAUAAGUAAUGUGAAUUGCAGAAUUCAGUGAAUCAUCGAAUCUUUGAACGCACAUUGCGCCCAUUAGUAUUCUAGUGGGCAUGCCUGUUCGAGCGUCAUUAAGUCCACUUAAGCCCUGCUUAGUGUUGGGAGACUGCUCCAGCGGUGCUACCCUGUAGCUACCCUGCAGCUCCUCAAAGACAGCGGCGGAGUUGUGGUAUCCUCUGAGCUUAGUAACUUGUUCUAGCUUUCGAGUACACCACUUCCCCUGCCGUAAAACCCUUAAUUUUUAAUGGUUGACCUCGGAUCAGGUAGGAAUACCCGCUGAACUUAAGCAUAUCAAUAAGCGAGGA